CUUUAUGGUGGCCGUACGUGGGAGACCUUCGGGUCUGCCGGGUGCCAACUUGCCCGGUUCGCCAACCUGCGUACGGCUGCCACCUAU
rnacentral:antisense_RNA from 1 species